GCCUGAGUGGCUCAGUCGGUUGAAUAUCUGACUUCUGCUCAGGUCAUGAUCUCACAGUUCGUGGGUUCGAGCCCCAUGUAAGGCU
rnacentral:tRNA from 1 species